rnacentral:sRNA from 1 species
GUUUCAAUUCCUCAUAGGCAGGCUAUCGGCGGAUUAAAGAGCUCCUCCCAGAAAUUUACAAGACCGAG